rnacentral:rRNA from 1 species
CAGUAGCCACGGUAAUACAGAGGGUGCGAGCGUUAAUCGGAUUUACUGGGCGUAAAGCGUGCGUAGGCGGCUUCUUAAGUCGGAUGUGAAAUCCCUGAGCUUAACUUAGGAAUUGCAUUCGAUACUGGGAAGCUAGAGUAUGGGAGAGGAUGGUAGAAUUCCAGGUGUAGCGGUGAAAUGCGUAGAGAUCUGGAGGAAUACCGAUGGCGAAGGCAGACAUCUGGCCUAAUACUGACGCUGAGGUACGAAAGCAUGGGGAGCAAACAGGAUUAGAUACCCCGGUAGUCCCUGUCUCUUAUAC